GCCGGCGUAGCUUAAUAGUAGAGCGACCGGGAUUGUAACCCGGGGGGUGGGGCGUUCAAAUCCCCCAGCCGGCUCCA
rnacentral:tRNA from 1 species